rnacentral:lncRNA from 1 species
UCAGAUUCUCCGCACAGCCUCCACAGAAAUCGCAGUGCCUCUCCAGAGACUGAGCCUGAUAGAGUCUGGGGAUGUGUCUGUGACUCUGGGCUGGGUCAGCGGAAGAGCAGGGACCCAGGCCGAGGUGCCAGGACGGCCCCAAAGGGCCACCAGGGAAGGCACUGCAGGGCCAAAGGCCAAGAGCUAUGAAGUGGGCAGGGCUGUGGUCCAGGCCCAAGGCCAGG